rnacentral:rRNA from 1 species
AUGGAUUAUUUGCUCAAAGUCGUAGCACUGGUUGUCACGGCCUCGGCCAUAGCCAUCCACCUCUUGAGCCGAGCCAGGAAAUGUUGGGGUCCGGCCAACCUGCCCCCUGGCUCCCUAGGACUUCCGGUGAUUGGCCAGACCUUCAGCGUCUUCCGAGCCGCGCGCACCAACAGCGGCAACGAGUGGAUACAUGACCGGAUCAAGAGGUACGGGCCGGUUUCCAAGGCAUCGGUGUUGUGCAGGCCGACGGUUUUCCUGACGGGCCCGGCGGCCAACAAGUUCAUGUUCUUUACCAGCGGGCUGCGGAUGGGGACGCCCCGGUCCUUCCAACGUAUCUUCGGGGAGAAGAGUAUCGUGGACAUGCACGGCCAAGAUCACCGGCGCAUCCGUGGGGCGCUAAUGGAGUUCCUCAAGCCGGACAUGCUCAGGCGAUACACUGGGAGGAUUGACGCCAAGGUGAGGCGCCACCUAGAGGAGCACUGGCAAGGCCACACCACCAUCACGGUGCUGCCACUCAUGAGGGGGUUAACGUUCGACAUCACCUCCUCGCUACUCUUCGGCCUUGAGACGGGUGCCACGCGGGACGCGUUCACCCGUGACUUUGGGCGCAUGGUCGAGGGUGUUUUUGCCAUCCCGAUCAACCUUCCCUUCACAACGUUCAGCCGGAGCCUCAAGGCCGGCCGAAGGGCACGACGGCUGCUCGAGGUGAUUACAAGUGACAAGAAGGCUAAGCUAGGGCAGGGCAAGGCGUCGCCGAAUAGCGACCUCAUCAACCGCCUGCUCAGCAUGACAGACGACCAUGGCGAGCAGCUGCUAACCAAUGAGGAGAUUCUCGACAACGUCAUGUUCGCCCUGGUUGCCAGCCAUGAAACCACCUCCAUUCUCAUGACGUGCAUGGUCAGCCACCUCGCCAAUGAUCCGGCUACCCUCGCCGCCAUGGUGCAAGAGCAUGAAGAAAUUGCAAGGAACAAGGUUGAAGGAGAGGCUCUCACCUGGGAAGACCUCUCAAAGAUGAAGUUCACAUGGCAAGUUGCACAGGAGACACUUCGCAUCAACCCCCCUGUCUUCGGCACCUCUAGUACAGCACUCGAGGACAUCGAGUUCGAUGGCUACCACAUACCAAAAGGCUGGCAGGUGAUUUGGACGGCAAUCGCGACGCACAUGGACCCGAGCAUCUUCCACGAGCCAGCGAAGUUCGACCCAUCCAGGUUCCAGAGCCAGUCAUCCGUGACGCCACCAUGCUCCUUCGUCCCGUUCGGUGGCGGCCCCAGAAUAUGCCCUGGGAUGGAGUUUGCCAAGAUGGAAACAUUGGUGAUGAUGCACCACCUGGUGGGACACUUCAGAUGGAAGCUUUGCUGCAAGGGGAAGACUUUCAUGAGGGUCUCCUUCCCGUCACCACUGGAAGGCCUGCCGAUAGAACUCGAGCACAUCAAUCCGGGUGACCGUCCAGGGUUUACUAAAUAA